GAUGAACGCUGGCGGCGUGCCUAAUACAUGCAAAUCGAGCGAAUGGAUUAAGAGCUUGCUCUUAUGAAGUUAGCGGCGGACGGGUGAGUAACACGUGGGUAACCUGCCCAUAAGACUGGGAUAACUCCGGGAAACCGGGGCUAAUACCGGAUAACAUUUUGAACCGCAUGGUUCGAAAUUGAAAGGCGGCUUCGGCUGUCACUUAUGGAUGGACCCGCGUCGCAUUAGCUAGUUGGUGAGGUAACGGCUCACCAAGGCAACGAUGCGUAGCCGACCUGAGAGGGUGAGCGGCCACGAUGGGACUGAGACACGGCCCAGACUCCUACAGGAGGCAGCAGUAGGGAAUCUGCCGCACUGGGCGAAAGUCUGACGGAGCAACGCCGCGUGAGUGAUGAAGGCUUUCGGGUCGUAAAACUCUGUUGUUAGGGAAGAACAAGUGCUAGUUGAAUAAGCUGACACCUUGACGGUACCUAACCAGAAAGCCACGGCUAACUACGUGCCAGCCGCCGCCGUAA
rnacentral:rRNA from 1 species